rnacentral:rRNA from 1 species
CGAGCGGACAGAUGGGAGCUUGCUCCCUGAUGUUAGCGGCGGACGGGUGAGUAACACGUGGGUAACCUGCCUGUAAGACUGGGAUAACUCCGGGAAACCGGGGCUAAUACCGGAUGGUUGUUUGAACCGCAUGGUUCAAACAUAAAAGGUGGCUUCGGCUACCACUUACAGAUGGACCCGCGGCGCAUUAGCUAGUUGGUGAGGUAACGGCUCACCAAGGCGACGAUGCGUAGCCGACCUGAGAGGGUGAUCGGCCACACUGGGACUGAGACACGGCCCAGACUCCUACGGGAGGCAGCAGUAGGGAAUCUUCCGCAAUGGACGAAAGUCUGACGGAGCAACGCCGCGUGAGUGAUGAAGGUUUUCGGAUCGUAAAGCUCUGUUGUUAGGGAAGAACAAGUACCGUUCGAAUAGGGCGGUACCUUGACGGUACCUAACCAGAAAGCCACGGCUAACUACGUGCCAGCAGCCGCGGUAAUACGUAGGUGGCAAGCGUUGUCCGGAAUUAUUGGGCGUAAAGGGCUCGCAGGCGGUUUCUUAAGUCUGAUGUGAAAGCCCCCGGCUCAACCGGGGAGGGUCAUUGGAAACUGGGGAACUUGAGUGCAGAAGAGGAGAGUGGAAUUCCACGUGUAGCGGUGAAAUGCGUAGAGAUGUGGAGGAACACCAGUGGCGAAGGCGACUCUCUGGUCUGUAACUGACGCUGAGGAGCGAAAGCGUGGGGAGCGAACAGGAUUAGAUACCCUGGUAGUCCACGCC